GCUUUCGUGGUGUAGCGGUAACAUUGGGUCUUCCCAUAAGUGAAAGUUAUCUGUGAUAUGGCCUAGCUCCGGGUUCGACUCCCGGCGGACGCA